GAUGAACGCUAGCUACAGGCUUAACACAUGCAAGUCGAGGGGAAACGAUGAGAGAGCUUGCUCUCUUAGUCGUCGACCGGCGCACGGGUGAGUAACGCGUAUCCAACCUGCCUCUGACCAAGGGAUAACCCGUCGAAAGUCGGACUAAUACCUUAUGCAGUCGUCGGAAGUCAUCUGAUGACGACGAAAGAUUUCAUCGGUGAGAGAUGGGGAUGCGUCUGAUUAGCUUGUUGGCGGGGUAACGGCCCACCAAGGCGACGAUCAGUAGGGGUUCUGAGAGGAAGGUACCCCAGAAUGGAACUAAGACACGGUCCAAACUCCUACGGGAGGCAGCAGUGAGGAAUAGUGGGCAAGGGGCGUAAGCCUGAACCAGCCAAGUAGCGGGCAGGAGGACGGCGCUAUGGGUUGUAAACUGCUUUUAUGCGGGGAUAAAGUGAGGGACGUGUCCUUCAUUGCAGGUACCGAAUGAAUAAGGACCGGCUAAUUCCGUG
rnacentral:rRNA from 1 species